AAAAAGAAAGGGGAAAGUGAGGAGGCCAUGUGAAAAUGUGAAGUGAUAAAAUAGAAAAUUUAAAUUAUUGUUAUGGUUAUUAUUAUUAUUAUUAUUAUUAUUAUUAUUCAAUUCCAUUCCAUGUACGAAAAGCAAAAAUCCACUCUUCUUCACUUCUUCUUCUUCUUCGAUGGCAGAGAGGGAGAGAGAGACCACGUGGAGGAGCCACACAUUCGGCGGGUCAAAACAAUCCGCUCUCGAUAAUGGAGAUUCCUAUCGGAUUCCAUUGCCAGCGCUUUGCAUGCGCACCAUCUGUUUGUUUAAAUUCCUCUAAGUUAUACGCCUCACUUGUCCAAGCCUUGGCCAGCUGGUGUUGUGGAUGUGGGUCAGUUUAGAUAAGCUUUGAGAAUUUUGUUGACUUUCUGCUGUUAAUGUUGCUAUUUCUGUGGUUCUGUCUUGAUUUAAAAUUUUUAAUGGCAUUUAGUGUUGGUAGUUUGGUUUCAUGCAAAUAAUUUUCUUAUGUGACAAGUUUUAUGGAUGUGGUAUAUAAGAGAUGAGCUAAAGGGGUUGUAACGUGUAUGAGAUCAGCUUGAUUAGAGUAGUGUUUGAAUGGUGUAAAAUGAUGGACAAAGGCUAAAGUGAUUUAUUGUGUAUUAGAUCAACUUUACUAGAGUAGACUAGAGUGUGAAUUGUGUAAAAAAUAGACAGAUGGGUGGACUGGAAUACAUUUCGACUGAUAUUAUUGUCAACUAAUUAAACCUUUCAAUUCAUCUUC